rnacentral:ncRNA from 2 species
CGCUUUAGCCGGGGGCGCUGCCAAGCUGAGACGUACCCUUUGAACCUGAACCAGAUAAUGCUGGCGGAGGGAGGUCACAGUCGCUUUAU